rnacentral:rRNA from 1 species
GACAGAGGGUGCAAACGUUGUUCGGAAUUACUGGGCGUAAAGCGCGUGUAGGCGGCUAUGCAAGUCGGACGUGAAAUCCCACGGCUCAACCGUGGAAGUGCGCUCGAAACUGCGUAGCUAGAGUCCUGGAGAGGAAGGUGGAAUGCUUGGUGUAGAGGUGAAAUUCGUAGAUAUCAAGCGGAACACCGGUGGCGAAGGCGGCCUUCUGGACAGUGACUGACGCUGAGACGCGAAAGCGUGGGGAGCGAACAGG